rnacentral:rRNA from 1 species
UUAGUAACGGCGAGUGAAGCGGCAAAAGCUCAAAUUUGAAAUCUGGCACCUUCGGUGUCCGAGUUGUAAUUUGAAGAAGGUAACUUUGGGAUUGGCUCUUGUCUAAGUUCCUUGGAACAGGACGUCACAGAGGGUGAGAAUCCCGUGCGAUGAGAUGACCAAUCCUAUGUAAAGUGCUUUCGAAGAGUCGAGUUGUUUGGGAAUGCAGCUCUAAGUGGGUGGUAAAUUCCAUCUAAAGCUAAAUAUUGGCGAGAGACCGAUAGCGAACAAGUACAGUGAUGGAAAGAUGAAAAGAACUUUGAAAAGAGAGUGAAAAAGUACGUGAAAUUGUUGAAAGGGAAGGGCUUGAGAUCAGACUUGGUAUUUUGCAUUCCUUACCUUCGUGGUGGGGUUCCUUGCAGUUUACUGGGCCAGCAUCGGUUUGGAUGGUGGGAUAAUGACAUUGGAAUGUGGCUCUGCUUCGGUAGAGUGUUAUAGCCAGUGUUGAUACCGCCUGUCUAGACCGAGGACUGCGUCUUUGACUAGGAUGCUGGCAUAAUGAUCUUAAGUCGCCCGUCUUGAAC